GAAACGACUGCUAAGACUGGAUAGGAGACAAGAAGGCAUCUUCUUGUUUUUAAAAGACUUAGCAAUAGGUAUGCUUAGGGAGGAGCUUGCGUCACAUUAGUUAGUUGGUGGGGUAAAGGCCUACCAAGACUAUGAUGUGUAGCCGGGCUGAGAGGUUGAACGGCCACAUUGGGACUGAGACACGGCCCAAACUCCUACGGGAGGCAGCAGUAGGGAAUUUUCGGCAAUGGAGGAAGCUCUGACCGAGCAACGCCGCGUGAACGAUGAAGUAUUUCGGUACGUAAAGUUCUUUUAUUAGGGAAGAAUAAAUGAUGGAAAAAUCAUUCUGACGGUACCUAAUGAAUAAGCCCCGGCUAACUAUGUGCCAGCAGCCGCGGUAAUACAUAGGGGGCAAGCGUUAUCCGGAAUUAUUGGGCGUAAAGGGUGCGUAGGCGGUUAAAUAAGUUAUGGUCUAAGUGCAAUGCUCAACAUUGUGAUGCUAUAAAAACUGUUUAGCUAGAGUAAGAUAGAGGCAAGUGGAAUUCCAUGUGUAGUGGUAAAAUGCGUAAAUAUAUGGAGGAACACCAGUAGCGAAAGGCGGCUUGCUGGGUCUUUACUGACGCUGAGGCACGAAAGCGUGGGGAGCAAACAGGAUUAGAUACCCUGGUAAUCCACGCCGUAAACGAUGAGUACUAAACGUUGGGUAAAACCAGUGUUGACGUUAACACAUUUAAGUACUCCGCCUGAGUAGUACGUACGCAAGUAUGAAACUUAAAGGAAUUGACGGGACUCCGCACAAGCGGUGGAUCAUGUUGUUUAAUUCGAAGGUACCCGAAAAACCUCACCAGGUCUUGACAUGCUUCUGCAAAGCUGUAGAAACACAGUGGAGGUUAUCAGUUGCACAGGUGGUGCAUGGUUGUCGUCAGCUCGUGUCGUGAGAUGUUGGGUUAAGUCCCGCAACGAGCGCAACCCUUAUUGUUAGUUACCAGCACGUAAUGGUGGGGACUUUAGCAAGACUGCCAGUGAUAAAUUGGAGGAGGGUGGGGACGACGUCAAAUCAUCAUGCCCCUUAUGACCUGGGCUACAAACGUGAUACAAUGGCUGUUACAAAGGGUAGCUGAAGCGCAAGUUUUUGGCGAAUCUCAAAAAAACAGUCUCAGUUCGGAUUGAAGUCUGCAGCUCGACUUCAUGAAGUUGGAAUCGCUAGUAAUCGCGAAUCAGCAUGUCGCGGUGAAUACGUUCACGGGGUUUGUACACACCGCCCGUCA
rnacentral:rRNA from 1 species